GACGAACGCUGGCGGCGUGCUUAACACAUGCAAGUCGAACGGGAAGGCCCUGCUUUUGUGGGGUGCUCGAGUGGCGAACGGGUGAGUAACACGUGAGUAACCUGCCCUUGACUUUGGGAUAACUUCAGGAAACUGGGGCUAAUACCGGAUAGGAGCUCCUGCUGCAUGGUGGGGGUUGGAAAGUUUCGGCGGUUGGGGAUGGACUCGCGGCUUAUCAGCUUGUUGGUGGGGUAGUGGCUUACCAAGGCUUUGACGGGUAGCCGGCCUGAGAGGGUGACCGGCCACAUUGGGACUGAGAUACGGCCCAGACUCCUACGGGAGGCAGCAGUGGGGAAUAUUGCACAAUGGGCGGAAGCCUGAUGCAGCAACGCCGCGUGCGGGAUGACGGCCUUCGGGUUGUAAACCGCUUUCGCCUGUGACGAAGCGUGAGUGACGGUAAUGGGUAAAGAAGCACCGGCUAACUACGUGCCAGCAGCCGCGGUGAUACGUAGGGUGCGAGCGUUGUCCGGAUUUAUUGGGCGUAAAGGGCUCGUAGGUGGUUGAUCGCGUCGGAAGUGUAAUCUUGGGGCUUAACCCUGAGCGUGCUUUCGAUACGGGUUGACUUGAGGAAGGUAGGGGAGAAUGGAAUUCCUGGUGGAGCGGUGGAAUGCGCAGACAUCAGGAGGAACACCAGUGGCGAAGGCGGUUCUCUGGGCCUUUCCUGACGCUGAGGAGCGAAAGCGUGGGGAGCGAACAGGCUUAGAUACCCUGGUAGUCCACGCUGUAAACGGUGGGUACUAGGUGUGGGGUCCAUUCCACGGGUUCCGUGCCGUAGCUAACGCUUUAAGUACCCCGCCUGGGGAGUACGGCCGCAAGGCUAAAACUCAAAGGAAUUGACGGGGCCCCGCACAAGCGGCGGAGCAUGCGGAUUAAUUCGAUGCAACGCGUAGAACCUUACCUGGGUUUGACAUGGAUCGGGAGUGCUCAGAGAUGGGUGUGCCUCUUUUGGGGUCGGUUCACAGGUGGUGCAUGGCUGUCGUCAGCUCGUGUCGUGAGAUGUUGGGUUAAGUCCCGCAACGAGCGCAACCCUUGUUCACUGUUGCCAGCACGUUAUGGUGGGGACUCAGUGGAGACCGCCGGGGUCAACUCGGAGGAAGGUGGGGAUGACGUCAAGUCAUCAUGCCCCUUAUGUCCAGGGCUUCACGCAUGCUACAAUGGCUGGUACAGAGAGUGGCGAGCCUGUGAGGGUGAGCGAAUCUCGGAAAGCCGGUCUCAGUUCGGAUUGGGGUCUGCAACUCGACCUCAUGAAGUCGGAGUCGCUAGUAAUCGCAGAUCAGCAACGCUGCGGUGAAUACAAACCCGGGGCU
rnacentral:rRNA from 1 species